ensembl:lncRNA
GGCAAGGUUUGAGGAAAGACAGCAGCAACAGUUCAUGCCCAGUAUAACGGUGUAAAGCAGGUCCAUAUCUGAAAAGAAUUUUCAUGGCAAUAAGAUGUACAUAGAUGCACUGAGUAACCAGUAGUCCUGUGACUCACUUUUCCGUUUCUGAAGUACUUCCUUACUUAUGUUUCUACAUGGUUGUGGAGAUGUUAAUAGCAAUGGAGGUUGAGAACUGCUUGAAUAUUAGAAAAUGAGACUUCUCUGUGUACCACUGAUGUAUUUCUAAUGCCAAAGUUGCUGCUACUUAGGAAUCCUUUCUUGUCUCAUAUCUCUUGCAGGUUGGCUCUUCACAGAAGCCAGUACUUGCCAUUGGUUAAAGUUGCUGUGACACAGUGUAAAACAGCCAGACACCAAGACAGAAUGAAGCUCCUACAAUGCCACUGUGAGAGAAGUCUAGAAACCCUUAGAAGUGGACCAGCGCGGGAAAUAUCCAGAUGGGCUGAGCCGUGACCAGGAGGUUUGUGUUGGCAAAUUUAAUGUAUUUUUUCUUAAGCAAUCUGAGAAUCUGAUCUGCUGUGGUUUAACCUAGCAGGCAGAUAAACACCACAUAGCCAUUUACUCACUCUUACUCACAGUGGGUUGGGAGUGAAAACUGAAAAGUGCUCUCAACCCUCUCAUAGGUUGAGAGGGCAAUUUAGUAAGAAAGAAGGAACAGGGAAAAAAGAAAACAACAACAAACACUAUAACAAUAAUAACAAAAAGGAUAAACAAAGGAAAUGAUGCACAACACAGCUUUCAGCAACCACUGACCAAUGCUAAGCCAGUCCCCAAACAGUGGUCUCCCUCUCCAGCCAAUUUCCUCCAGUGUAAUUGUUUUGUGUGGUGUCCUAUAGUAUUG